rnacentral:rRNA from 1 species
GAUGAACGCUGGCGGCGUGCCUAAUACAUGCAAGUCGAGCGAACAGACGAGGAGCUUGCUUCUCUGAUGUUAGCGGCGGACGGGUGAGUAACACGUGGAUAACCUACCUAUAAGACUGGGAUAACUUCGGGAAACCGUAGCUAAUACCGGAUAAUAUUUUGAACCGCAUGGUUCAAAAGUGAAAGACGGUCUUGCUGUCACUUAUAGAUGGAUCCGCGCUGCAUUAGCUAGUUGGUAAGGUAACGGCUUACCAAGGCAACGAUGCAUAGCCGACCUGAGAGGGUGAUCGGCCACACUGGAACUGAGACACGGUCCAGACUCCUACGGGAGGCAGCAGUAGGGAAUCUUCCGCAAUGGGCGAAAGCCUGACGGAGCAACGCCGCGUGAGUGAUGAAGGUCUUCGGAUCGUAAAACUCUGUUAUUAGGGAAGAACAUAUGUGUAAGUAACUGUGCACGUCUUGACGGUACCUAAUCAGAAAGCCACGGCUAACUACGUG